UACGUAGGGGGCAAGCGUUGUCCGGAUUUAUUGGGCGUAAAGAGCGUGGUAGGCGGCCAGGUAGGUCUGGUGUGAAAACUCGAGGCUUAACCUUGAGAAUGUCAUCGGAAACCAUUUGGCUAGAGUCCGGAAGAGGAAAGUUGGAAUUCCUGGUGUGGCGGUGAAAUGCGCAGAUAUCAGGAAGAACACCAAUGGCGAAAGCAGCUUUCUGGGACGGUACUGACGCUGAGACGCGAAAGCGUGGGGAGCGAACAG
rnacentral:rRNA from 1 species